rnacentral:misc_RNA from 1 species
GCCGGCGCGAACUGCCCGC